AUCAGUCUCUGCCCGGCCCUAAUGGCCGCAGGUUCCAAUCUGUGUGCCAAUUUUCAAGACUUUUUAAGCACGUUAAGGGCCCCAAAAGCCCCCGAGACGUUGGAAAAAAAUAAUAAUAAUAAUAAUAAUAAUAAAUAUAGCUGCAAGCAGCGAUGGCGGGCUCAAGCCACCAAUGCCAUCGCCACCCCGGUGGCAUCAGGUAAACUGUGCCCAGCGGGCACAUGCAUUCACAAUAUCCCUCUGGCAGUGAGGUUUUAAAGGAUAUGGCAGUUAAAGGGUUAAUCCGAAUCAUCAAGACUUUAAAAUCACAUUCACAGAACAAUAUAUAUAACUUUAGUGACACUUUACAAUAAUAUUUCAUUUCUAAACAUUAUGUUAACAUGAACAAUAUUUAUAUAGCAUUCAUUCAUGUCAGUUAAUAUUCCAAACUUAAACAUUAAAACAUUGUUUUAUUGUGAUUUUUUUCCAAGCACAUUUUACCAAUUCCAAACCAUAUCAAUCUUAAUAACUACCAUUAUUUUUUAUUUAAUCAUUUAUGAGUGCUAUACAAUAGUCCAGGAAAGCUGGAAGAGAAAAACUCCUUAUAUUCAUGUGUGCAGAAUCAUUAGGCAUGUUUUCUUUUACAGAUGAAAUGCGCUAAAAAAAGAGUUUUAACUCUGUAAAGCCUGUGAGAAAUAUCAAACACAAAUGCAAUACAGAAAUUGAUAAGUUAAGACUUGACCAUUGUACAAAAAAUGCUGACUGAGUCAUGAGGUCAGAAAAGAAGAAGAAAAAAACAGGUCAAGAAGAACUGACAAAAAGAAUUGCAAAAUAAUUAGGAAUUAAUGUGAAGAUUAAUUUUUAGUCAAUUCUGCAAAACAGACUUUCAGGAAAGGAGGUGGAAUAAAAAUGAGCUCCUAAAUCUUAAUCCCGGAUUCUGGAAGAUAUAUUCCUCAAACCAUCAAACAAGAGGAGGUGGUGCUGGUCCUUCACGAGUCACUCUAAUCGGUUCAUAAAGCCUAUAUAUAAAGUCUUAAUAUAUAGUAUUUCACAAUACUUCAUGGUAUUCUAAUUAAAUCAUUUUUUGGAAUCUUAGAUCUCUCAGAACCUGACACAUUGUAAUUCUGGAGACUCCAGGAAAGUGGCAGUUCUGUAAAAUGUUGGCGCUGGAGACUAAAUGCUGUCUGAUAGUUUCACACCUAAUUCACUUAAUACACACACACACACACAAACACACACACAUUACCCACAGUGACAGAGGGACAGAGUGACAUCAGAUGUAUGAUAGUUUUUUUAAUUUUCUAUCAUCCAUAUAGUGUUGUAUAGUCAUG